UUACAAAUUUUCAGCUGGAAGCUCACUUUUCCGCUUCUAACUUCCAUUUGCAGAGUUCAAGUAAUCUGGAAAUGGAUUAGAAUCGUGGAAAAGUUAGUGAAUAGCAGUUUUCAAAAUUGU
rnacentral:pre_miRNA from 15 species